GUGAGGAAUAUUGGUCAAUGGACGAGAGUCUGAACCAGCCAAUUCGCGUGAAGGAAGACGGUUCUAUGAAUUGUAAACUUCUUUUGUGCAGGAAUAAAGUGGGUUACGUGUAACCUUUUGUAUGUACUGUACGAAUAAGGAUCGGCUAACUCCGUGCCAGCAGCCGCGGUAAUACGGAGGAUCCGAGCGUUAUCCGGAUUUAUUGGGUUUAAAGGGUGCGUAGGUGGAUUGAUAAGUCAGCGGUGAAAGUUUGCAGCUUAACUGUAAAAUUGCCGUUGAAACUGUCGGUCUUGAGUGCAAAUGAGGUAGGCGGAAUGUGUUGUGUAGCGGUGAAAUGCUUAGAUAUAACACAGAACUCCGAUUGCGAAGGCAGCUUACUGGGAUGCAACUGACACUGAUGCACGAAAGCGUGGGUAUCAAACAGGAUUAGAAACCCCUGUAGUCC
rnacentral:rRNA from 1 species